rnacentral:rRNA from 1 species
CCCUUAGAUGUCCUGGGCUGCACGCGCGCUACACUGGAAGUUACGGAUUGAGAUACUACCUUGUCCGAAAUGGUCCGGGUAAUCACCUAAAAGCUUGUCAUAAUUGGAAUGGAUUAUUGUAACUAGUAAUCCUGAACGAGGAAUUCCUAGUAAGUCCCAGUCAACAGCUGGUACUGAUUACGUCCCUGCCCUUUGUACACACCGCCCGUCGCUACUACUGAUUGGAUGUUUAAGCGAGGUUCUCGAACUGCUAGCGACUUAGCUUCGGUGAGGUCGCAGUGUGGGAAGUGAACCUAGCUUUGGUGUCUAGAGGAAGUAAAAGUCGUAACA